GCUGAGAUAGCUUAGUUGGUUGAGCAUGAGACUCUGAAUCUCAAGGUUGUGGGUUCGAGUCCCACAUUGGGCA